rnacentral:rRNA from 1 species
GAGACAGCAGUCGCCACGGUAAUACAGAGGAUGCAAGCGUUAUCCGGAAUGAUUGGGCGUAAAGCGUGCGUAGGUGGCCAAUUAAGUCAAAUGUGAAAUCCCCGAGCUUAACUUGGGAAUUGCAUUUGAUACUGGUUGGCUAGAGUAUGGAGAGGAUGGUAGAAUUCCAGGUGUAGCGGUGAAAUGCGUAGAGAUCUGGAGGAAUACCGAUGGCGAAGGCAGCCAUCUGGCCUAAUACUGACACUGAGGUACGAAAGCAUGGGGAGCAAACAGGAUUAGAUACCCCGGUAGUCCCUGUCUCUUAUACA